AGAGUUUGAUCCUGGCUCAGAUUGAACGCUGGCGGCAGGCCUAACACAUGCAAGUCGAGCGGUAGAGAGAAGCUUGCUUCUCUUGAGAGCGGCGGACGGGUGAGUAAUGCCUAGGAAUCUGCCUGGUAGUGGGGGAUAACGUUCGGAAACGGACGCUAAUACCGCAUACGUCCUACGGGAGAAAGCAGGGGACCUUCGGGCCUUGCGCUAUCAGAUGAGCCUAGGUCGGAUUAGCUAGUUGGUGAGGUAAUGGCUCACCAAGGCGACGAUCCGUAACUGGUCUGAGAGGAUGAUCAGUCACACUGGAACUGAGACACGGUCCAGACUCCUACGGGAGGCAGCAGUGGGGAAUAUUGGACAAUGGGCGAAAGCCUGAUCCAGCCAUGCCGCGUGUGUGAAGAAGGUCUUCGGAUUGUAAAGCACUUUAAGUUGGGAGGAAGGGUACUUACCUAAUAC
rnacentral:rRNA from 1 species